rnacentral:rRNA from 1 species
AUUGAACGCUGGCGGCAUGCUUUACACAUGCAAGUCGAACGGUAACAGGCCGCUAGGUGCUGACGAGUGAGGAACGGGUGAGUAAUGCACCGGAACGUGCCCAGGCGUGGGGGAUAACUACUCGAAAGAGUAGCUAAUAUCGCACACGAUCUAUGGAGGAAAGCGGGGGAGCGUAUGGGAUCGCGCGAUCGGAGCGGCCGAUGUGGGAGUAUGUAGUUUUGGUGGGAAAGGGCCACCCAGCCAACGAGCUGUAGCUGGGCUGAGAGGGCGAGCAGCCACACUGGGACUGAGACACGGCCCAGACUCCUACGGGAGGCAGCAGUGGGGAAUUUUGGACAAUGGGCGCAAGCCUGAUCCAGCAAUGCCGCGUGCAGGAAGAAGGCCUUCGGGUUGUAAACUGCUUUUGUGCGGAACGAAACGCAUUUGGUUAAUACCCGGGGCUAAUGACGGUACCGUAAGAAUAAGCACCGGCUAACUACGUG